rnacentral:rRNA from 1 species
AUACGGAGGGGACAAGCGUUAUUCGGAAUCACUGGGCGUAAAGGACGCGUAGGCGGGUUUGUAAGUCAGGUGUGAAAUCCUACAGCUCAACUGUAGAACUGCACUUGAAACUACAGACCUAGAGUGUGGAAGGGGCAGAUGGAAUUAGUGGUGUAGGGGUAAAAUCCGUAGAUAUCACUAGGAAUACCGAAAGCGAAGGCGAUCUGCUGGGACAUUACUGACGCUGAGGCGUGAAAGCGUGGGGAGCAAACAGGAUUAGAAACCCCGGUAGUCC